UACGUAGGGUGCAAGCGUUAAUCGGAAUUACUGGGCGUAAAGCGUGCGCAGGCGGUUUUGUAAGUUUGUCGUGAAAGCCCCGGGCUCAACCUGGGAAUUGCGAUGAAGACUGCAAGGCUUGAAUCUGGCAGAGGGGGGUGGAAUUCCGCGUGUAGCAGUGAAAUGCGUAGAGAUGCGGAGGAACACCGAUGGCGAAGGCAGCCCCCUGGGCUAACACUGACGCUCAGGCACGAAAGCGUGGGGAGCAAACAGG
rnacentral:rRNA from 1 species